AGAGUUUGAUCCUGGCUCAGAACGAACGCGGGCGGCGUGGAUAAGACAUGCAAGUCGAACGCUGAUUUCAGGGUAGCAAUAUUCUGGAGUUGGAGUGGCGCAAGGGUGCGUAACACGUGGGUAAUUUGCCGUGAAGCCCGGAAUAACUCGCUGAAAGGCGAGCUAAUACCGGAUGUGAUUUUUGGAGGGCAUCCUCUGGAACUCAAAGCUGGGGACCGUAAGGCCUGGCACUUCUCGAUAAGCCCGCGGCCUAUCAGCUAGUUGGUGAGGUAAUGGCUCACCAAGGCUAAGACGGGUAGCUGGUCUGAGAGGACGACCAGCCACACUGGAACUGAGACACGGUCCAGACACCUACGGGUGGCAGCAGUCGAGAAUUUUUCACAAUGGGCGAAAGCCUGAUGGAGCGACGCCGCGUGGGGGAUGAAUGGCUUCGGCCCGUAAACCCCUGUCAUUUGCGAACAAACCUUUUCAUUUAAAAGAUGAUGAGCUGAUUGUAGCGAAAGAGGAAGGGACGGCUAACUCUGUGCCAGCAGCCGCGGUAAUACAGAGGUCCCAAGCGUUGUUCGGAUUCACUGGGCGUAAAGGGUGCGUAGGUGGCCGGUUAAGUCUGACGUGAAAUCUCCGAGCCUAACUCGGAAACUGCGUCGGAAACUAUCCGGCUCGAGGGUUGGAGGGGGGACUGGAAUACUUGGUGUAGCAGUGAAAUGCGUAGAUAUCAAGUGGAACACCAGUGGCGAAGGCGAGUCCCUGGACAACUCCUGACACUGAGGCACGAAAGCUAGGGGAGCAAACAGGAUUAGAUACCCUGGUAGUC
rnacentral:rRNA from 1 species